rnacentral:tRNA from 1 species
GCCUGGGUGGCUCAGUGGUUGAGCAUCUGCCUUUGGCUCAGGUCUUGAUUGUGGGGUCCUGGGAUUGAGUCCCACAUCAGGCU